rnacentral:lncRNA from 1 species
CUUACCAGGGAGCUGUUACCCUGUGACAGGAUCCCAGAAUGAAGCUGAUUUCCUGGCUGGUUCUCAGGACAAAUCUGUGCUCCCUCCUCCAGGCUGCAGUGCUGGCAUUCCACAUCAGGACCUGAUGAGGGGAAAAGAAUUGAAUGCUCCCUGCUGAUGUGAGACCAGGACACCUUGUGACUGUAAUGGAGCUGGCUGUUCCCCUGUAGAGCAGCCACUGUCACUCCUACCAGGAAAAACAUCAGCACAGAAAAUAAGGAGAUAUCACACUCACUGAGGAGUGGGCAUUUUUCUGAGAACUCACCACCACCACGUGAACUGACUGCAAAGGAGAACGAGUUCAAGGACGGAAAGGUUCCUCACUGGGAAUCAUGGAUCUGCUGGGUUAAGUUUGAAUGUUGAUAUCUGCAUCUUCAGACACACUGACCUGUGGGCUCAGCUGUGACAGAAAACUGAGACCCAGUGAUGUGCUGCUGAAGUCUCUAAUAACACAUCAUGCCCACAGUACCUGCUGAAAACCCACUGAAAGGCCAGCAGGAAGAGUCAGAGGGAAUUCAGCCUCACCCCAGUCCUAGCUGUGAAACAAGCAGGGUAAGCAAACAGCCUUGCUAACUCAAGCAGAGGCAAAGCAGGAUGUUUGCUGGCAUUGCCCCCCAUGCAGCCUGUUUCUGACAGCUCGCAGCUUUGCCAUUUUGUGCCUUGCUGUUUGCUGGGGUGGGGUUUUUACUCCCAAAGAUAAUUCUGUAACUGCAAACCUGUUUUUUCCCUGAACGUUAGGUGCUCACACGUGUGCUUUGCUCCUGUCUGCAGUGAGAAGACAACCCUGCCUGUCCUAGCAGAUGGCUCCACACAUGUAUGGAGAGAACAUUAAGCAAAGCCAUGAACAAGGUUUCCCUGAGCAGUACUGGUGGCUCUGGCUGUGGGGCUGGAAGUUUGAUGACAGUUGUGAGUGACCGUCGUGCCUG